GCGACAUAUGCAGGAGGCUCUAUCAAUGUGGAUGAGCAUAGACGUAGAUUGACCAAAGAAUUGGGAAAGGAGCCUAAUUUUAUAGAUACUUUCACCCGCACAUUUCAGAAAAAAGAUAAGACUUGGAGCGGGGAUAGAGCUAAAGCAAUUAAG